CCUACGGGAGGCAGCAGUAGGGGAUAUUGCUCAAUGGGGGAAACCCUGAAGCAGCAACGCCGCGUGGGGGAUGAAGGUUUUCGGAUUGUAAACUCCUGUUGUUAGAGAAGAUAAUGACGGUAUCUAACGAAUAAGCACCGGCUAACUCCGUGCCAGCAGCCGCGGUAAUACGGAGGGUGCAGCGUUACUCGGAAUCACUGGGCGUAAAGGGCGCGGAGGCGGGAUAGCAAGUCAGAUGUGAAAUCCUAUGGAUUAACCAUAGAACUGCAUUUGAAACUGCUAAUCUUGAGUAUGGGAGAGGUAGGUGGAAUUCUCGGUGUAGGGGUAAAAUCCGUAGAGAUCAAGAGGAAUACUCGUGGCGAAGGCGACCUGCUAGAACAUAACUGACGCUGAGGCGCGAAAGCGUGGGGAGCAAACAGGAUUAGAUACCCGGGUAGUC
rnacentral:rRNA from 1 species